AGUUCCAGCCUCAACCCACGGAGGAUCUCACGCAGGCUUCAUUGGAGAUGGCGUGACAGCUUUUGUUGAGCCUGGCCUCUGGCCCUGGACCUGGGAGCACCACUGUGAACAGAUCAUAUCAUGAUCCCAGGAGGCAUGGAGAUGUCAGGUUGGCUAAGACCAGUCCACAGUCUGGGCAGUGCUGGCCUCCAGUGUUGGACCUGGGCUUGUUCUGAGCCAGGCAGUCACCUUCCGGAAAGCUUGGAAUUGUUCCUUACUCUUCUGUGGCCUGGGGUGUCUCCUGGGUAUUGUGGCUUCGGUCUGCCUUCAGGCCACUGCUAGAAUGUGUGCAAUGUGACUGUCUGUGGGAGCCUGCGAGGGACCCUGCAAAAAUGGCGCUGAGAGGAAGUAAGCAGGGCGCGGCCUGACUUGUCCUGAAGAUCAUCAGAUUGGAUGCCAGUCCUUCUGAACCCCUGGGUGGCAUGUGAUCAGUACGUGAUCAUCAUUGAUACCUAUGGGACCCUGCCCAUAUGGCAGGUUUACCUUUAAGCUGUUUGGGUGCAUUUUGGAGAGGGGUUUUCCAAGGGGAUUUCCAGACUGCGUUUUUUGCCUAUAUAAGCUCUGUGACACCUGCAAUAAACGAGUUCCUGCUUGACAAGA